GACGAACGCUGGCGGCGUGCUUAACACAUGCAAGUGGAGCGACGAACCGGGCUUCGGCCCGGGGCAAAGCCGCGAACGGGUGAGUAACACGUGGGUAACCUGCCCCAAUGACUGGGACAACCCGGGGAAACUCGGGCUAAUACCAGAUGUGGUCACCUCACAUAAGUGAGAUGACUAAAGAUAGCUUCGGCCUUCGCAUUGGGAUGGGCCCGCGGCGCAUUAGCUUGUUGGUGGGGUAANGGCCUACCAAGGCGACGAUGCGUAGCUGGUCUGAGAGGACGGAUCAGCCACACUGGGACUGAGACACGGCCCA
rnacentral:rRNA from 1 species